UACGGGGGGAGCAAGCGUUGUUCGGAUUUACUGGGCGUAAAGGGCGCGUAGGCGGUCGUGACAAGUCACUUGUGAAAUCUCCGGGCUUAACUCGGAACGGUCAAGUGAUACUGUCGGACUAGAGUACAGAAGGGGCAACUGGAAUUCUCGGUGUAGCGGUGAAAUGCGCAGAUAUCAGGAGGAACACCGGUGGCGAAGGCGGGUCUCUGGGCCGAUACUGACGCUGGAGGCGCGAAGGCGUGGGGAGCGAACGGG
rnacentral:rRNA from 1 species